UACGUAGGGUCCGAGCGUUGUCCGGAGUUACUGGGCGUAAGCGCGCGCAGGCGGCCCGGCAAGCAUGGCGCUGAAAGCCCCCGGCUCAACCGGGAGAGUCGUCGUGGACGCCGGCUUGAGGGCGGCAGGGGCUGGUGGAAUUCCCGGUGUGAGUGGUGAAAUGCGUAGAGAUCGGGAGGAACACCCGGUGGCGAAGGCGGCCAGCUGGGCCGGCCCGCUGACGCUGAGGCGCGAAGGCGUGGGAGC
rnacentral:rRNA from 1 species